rnacentral:lncRNA from 1 species
GUUUACUUUUGGCUUGCAGCAAGGCUCAUCCCGAGGGUUCCUACAGGUAAGAAGCAGCGCAUUAGCUAUAUGCCUCGCAUUUUAUAUUACAAGUAAGGGUUAUAAUUUAGAGGUAAGAAGCAGCGCAUUAGAUGUAUGCCUUGCAUAUUUAUUUAUAUUGUCAAGUUAAUCCCGGUUGGUCCGUACGAAAAUACAAGUAAAAGACUAUUAUUUUAGUAGCUCCGGCCGUAUGUAAAUUAUAUAUAUUAUUGUUGGAAUAUUGUACUUGUAUGGAAGUAUAUCGGCUGUUUAAUAAAAGUAUCAUUUUUACUUUUGACUAGUUAUUCACGCUACCAAUGAUGAGAGAGAACAGACAACAGAUUUGACGUCCGUAAUU